rnacentral:rRNA from 1 species
CCUUGUACACACCGCCCGUCACACCAUGAAAGUUGGAAACGCCCGAAGCCAGUGGCCGAACCCGCAAGGGACGGAGCUGUCGAAGGUGGAAUCAACGAUUAGGGUG